rnacentral:tRNA from 1 species
GUGGUCGUCGUUCAACGGCAGGGCGCCGCGUUGUGGACGCGGAGAUCAUGGGUUCGAGGCCCAGCGAUCAUCCC